CCUACGGGAGGCAGCAGUGGGGAAUAUUGCACAAUGGGGGAAACCCUGAUGCAGCAACGCCGCGUGAAGGAAGAAGUAUUUCGGUAUGUAAACUUCUAUCGACAGGGAAGAAACAAAUGACGGUACCUGAAUAAGAAGCACCGGCUAAAUACGUGCCAGCAGCCGCGGUAAUACGUAUGGUGCAAGCGUUAUCCGGAUUUACUGGGUGUAAAGGGUGAGUAGGCGGUCAUGCAAGUCAUAUGUGAAAUGUCAGGGCUUAACCUUGGCGCUGCAUAAGAAACUGUAUGACUAGAGUGCAGGAGAGGUAAGCGGAAUUCCUAGUGUAGCGGUGAAAUGCGUAGAUAUUAGGAAGAACACCGGUGGCGAAGGCGGCUUACUGGACUGUUACUGACGCUGAGUCACGAAAGCGUGGGGAGCAAACAGGAUUAGAUACCCUAGU
rnacentral:rRNA from 1 species